rnacentral:lncRNA from 1 species
UUUCAUCUAAAAAAGUGGUUGGAAUACGUAUAGAUUGAGAAAGUCCCUUGUAAACUUUAAUACGGAAGAGAAAAAGGGAAAUUAUUAAGCAAAAGACAAUUGGUGGUCUUUUGCUUGUUGCAUCUAGAUAUUUUUAUGAUGUGGUUCAUUUAGGUGUUUAAACUCUCUAUUGAACAUAGUGUAAGAAAGCUACAAGAACAAAUUUGGACCACGAAAGCGGAUGUGGCCACUGGCCAAACACGUCCUCAACUUGGCCCACUCAAGGUACUAAAUAUUAGCCGAUAUGUAUCUAAAUUUUGACAUUUUGAUAUGAAUAUUUUAGUAAAUAUCAAUCCAGACAGUCUGAUAUAAGCCGAUACAAGGCUAUAUUACCGAUACAAUUACUGAUACUGCGAUUUAGGCUGUCCAUUUAACCAACUCUAUAAUUGAAAAAGAGGAGAAGAAGAAAAAAAAACGUAAAAGAAUAGUGGCAAUGCUGUUAUGUCUAGAAGUUCACUCAAAGGGAGAGAACACAAGAAAUUUCCAUCUCCAUCGCAGAACCUAUUUCUUUGAUGGCAUAUCUACACUAAGUUCUAUAGUAAAGUGUUUUGAGUUCACACCUCUUUAGAGUUUCUGAAAAAUAAAAAUGCCACCUGGCUUUUUUUUAGAUCUCCUCUCUCAUAAGAAAGAAUUGCUAAAUAAUGAACUAAAAAUAAAACACUACGUGGAUGUUUGAUAACUGUUUUAUUUUAAUUUUUUUAUUUUUAUUUUGUUUAAUUUAUAAAUAAAAAUAGAAAACUUGUUUGUGUUGCAAAAAAUAAAUAAAAAUAAAGCAAAAUUAAUUGCACUAUUUUUGAAAAUAGUAAAAACAAGAAAAAGUUAUUUUUGUUUUGUUUACAAAAAAAUUUGGAUGAAUUUUUUUUGUAAAUUUUUCCAAUCACCUCAACCGCCUCCGCCUCCGCCUCCUUCACCACCACCACCACCGCCGCCGCCACCAUCUUUUUUUAAAAUAAUUUAAAAAUAGGUGAACACAAAUAUAUUUUUGUGUAAAAAUAAUUUAAAAAUAGGUGAACACAAACAUAUUUUUAGUUUCUGUUUUACAAAAAACAAAACAAAAGAAAAUAAAAAUUAAACAAAUACAAAAAAAAAUAGAAAAGUAAAAGUAAGAAAAGUUAUUUUUGUUUUGUUUAAAAAAAAAAAAUUCAUCCAAAUUUUUUCAAUCACCUCCGCCAUCACCUUCGCCACCACCAGCGCCACUUUCAUCUCCGCUACCAUCACCUCCUCCACCGCCACCGCUACUUUUUUUUUUAAAUAGUUUCAGAAAAUGUGAACACAAAUAUAUUUUUAUUUUUAAAUAUUUUAAAAAUAGGUGAACACAAACAUAUUUUUUAUUUUUAUUUUAUAAAAAACAAAACAAAACAAAAAUUAAAUAAACACAAAAAAUAGAAAAAUAAAAACGUUAUCAAACAUCCUCUACGUGUUCCAAACCAGUCAAAUCGCUACGCAUCCGAAUGACCCAUAGUCAAUUUCUAGGGUUUUCAUUUCAGCUGCAUACCCAUGGGUGAAUGGAUGAUCUAAGAGAUGUGAAUGGCUCGGGUUUUCAUUUCUCGGGGUUAUCGGCUUGAAUUUUUUGCUUUUUAUUAACCAGGUUAUUAGAUUUAUUUUGAUUGUCAUGUUUUUUAUUUCUUAUUUUCCAGCUGUGUAUUAUAACUGAGUUAUGUAUAUUUUGCUGAAAUGAAGAAAUGAACAACAUCUGAAAUGAAGAAAUGAACAACAUUAGAAGAAUAUGGAACAUGUUGAAUUUGUAGAGUCCAUGAGCCAGGUCCCUUUUCAUGGACUGGGGCUAGAUCCAUUUUCUCUGCUACUCAUUCUGCAGGUGGAGUUCACCAUAUAAAUAAAUAAUUAAGGCCCCGUUUGGCCCAAAAAAGUUUUUGAGAUAUUUUAGUUGCUUUGAUUUUUGAGAUUUUUUCGCUUCUAGUAAAUUUUUUUAAUCGUUUGAUCAAAAUUUUAUAUUUUGUUGUUCUUUUUAACGAGAAAAGUCUGAAAAUAUAAAAAUCUUUAUCUAAUUUAGAAAGAUGUUCACGAAAGUGAAAAAAGUAACACUUUUUUACUUGAUAAAUUAGCUAAAUUUUUAUCUUUUAAUAGAUUUCUUAUUCCAAAUUUAAACAAUCUUUUUUCAUUUUCGGAUUUUCUCGUCAAUAAGAAAAGAAAAAGUAUAUUUUUUUUCUUAAACAGAGAAAAAGUUCACAAAAAGAUGGAAAAAUUUCAAAAUCAAGCACCUAAAAAUCUAGAUUGUAUGAAUCUAUAAUAAAAACUGUUAAAACAAUUUUUAAUUAAAAAUAAUAUAUUUCUUCUUUUAAAAUGGAGAACUGGAUCGAAGAUUCUUAUAAGUAGCUUCGAACUUAUUUCAUCUAAUACCAUCAUACACAAAAAGUUACGUACAUGUUUGGCAAAAUUUUAAAGCAUCAACUUCUGCUUUUUAGUUUUAAAAUUUGUUUCAAAAUGUUUAAUAAAACUUCUG